CCAAAAGAGCUCCCACCAAUUCUUGCACCUUUUUAAAAAGAUCUAAGCCUUUAUUUCAUGCUCCAGCACUUUUUGGACGGUUGUCAUAAGGUAACACUAUUUUUAUUCUCCAAUUUUUGGCAAGUCUUCCAGCUUGACGGGGUGGGGGGUAGGGUGGGGAGGGAAUGGGGAAAAAAAACACCUUUAAUCGAUUUGUGUCCAUUGAUGGGUGCAUGAAAGUUUUAUUUGGUCUGUGUUGGAAACCAGCUUAGUGGCCAUUUUAAUGAGUAUUUUUUUGCAUGCUUUGUGUGCCUGAUCUAGUAAUAAGAUGAGGCUUGUGGAUUAAUCCCCCCAAAAUGCUUUUUUUUAAACAGUACCCCCCCCAUCCCAAAAGAAGCCAUUCCACCACGAAUUAAAGAAAGCACUUUAGCGCAUGAAACAUGAUAUAAACAGUUCCAUUCUUCUUGAUCUCAGGCUACCUGAAAAUUAAACCUGCAAUGAUUCUGCUGCUAUUUGAGCCAUUCCUUCAGUUGGGUCAGAGAUGCUACAAUGCCGGGGAAUGGGGGCAAUUACAGCAUCUAACCCUAAUUCUGAGGACUCUGGUUCCUACAGAGUGUUUAAAUUCCUUCCUAAAGCAUGUUCCUUUUAGCAAUGGAAUUUCAGGUGUUACUGUUCCUCAAUCGGCUAACAUUAUAGGCUAAAAAGGGAUCCCCAAACUUGGCAACUUUUAAGACUUGUGGACUCUGGGCUAAAAUAUGGUCCUUUUCAUUUGUACCUCAUCACCUACAGCCCCACUGUAUAUUUAGACAAGUCAAUUAUGCAAAGCUUAGCACCACUAAGUGGCAAUGCUAAGCUCGGUUAGUCUUAAGCUUGAUGGUGGUUGGUUGGGCUUAGGGUGUUGUGUGAUCCAAGGAUUUUCAACUUUUUCAGUGGUUUCCUAAAACAAAGUAUUUUUUGUGAGAUCCAUUCCCAAUAACUGAUUGAACUUGAGGGUAGGGUUCAGCAAGAAAUAAAUGUCCCACUUUGAGUUAUUGUUAGCCCGCAUAUCAGAGGCAGUCAUAAACUUUGCAACAUACAGAGAAAGGGAAGAGCAAAGGUGCAGAAUAGAUAUUAAUCGGUCUACCUGUGCUAGACUGAGAUUAUAACACUUUUUUUUUUCUAACAAGAUGUGGAUCCUUUCCUUACUGGGCUGGCCCAGCUCCCAUUUGCAAACCCCUGGAUUAAAUUAUGGUUCAAGUGUGUUUUUCUAAAUGCAGAAAAUAGCUUAAUUCGAGAACUAGGUUCAACAUGUUGUUAGUUUACUAUGACAUGCAGACGCAGCCCCUGAAAGGGUUAAUUUUCAAUCUUUAACUCAACAAGGCAGAGACAAUCUCUUUUCCCCCUCCAAGAUUACUUCAGGUAACUCCUCAGAACUCUGUAGCUUUCACUAGUGAAAAAUGGGCUGUCUUGGUAACUUGUCCAAGCCCCAAUAGAAAUGUUGUGUAUACGCCUAGUAGAGACCCUCUAAUUUCUUCAUUCCUUCCUAACUCUAUCAAGUUGCCAACAGGCUAUCACAGCUCUGGCUCAUCUGAUAGGAUCAACUUUUUUUCCUCCUCCACUACUGCAGUCUUUAUUCUGGGGAUGUGGGUGGGAUCCAUUUCUGUUUCUUAGGAGUGUCCAACCUUGGCAACUUUUAAGACACGUGGACUUCAAUUCCCAGAAUUCCCCAGCUAAUUAUGCAUGGCUGAUUGGGGAAUUCUGGGGGUUGGAAGUCCAUAGAUCUUAAAAGCGGUCGAAGUUGGACACCCUACCUUCGAAUAUACUUGAACAGCUGGGAAGAGGAGGUUUUUCUGAGAACCGUUUGGGACAUAAAUCUAUCCUUGUUUUCUUCUGUGCUCUUAUGUAUUUACAAAAUCCAUUGAAUUGAUAGCUACUAUAUCCAUCCUUAUUAGGGUUUUUGGGGGGCAGGGCAGAAAUAAGAUUCUGCAGAAGAAAUGUAUUUUCCCUAGUUAAAUAUUAAUACCAUGUCUUCGCUGUUAUAUAUCAGGGAAUCGACUUCCCAUUCUCAGUUUUACUAUUCCCCAUCAAUAAUCGUAUAUUAAACUAGAUGUAGAGCAAUAAAUAAUCCUUAUUGCCAGAGAGGGGAAGGACUGUUAUUCAAUGAAUGGCUCUGUAAAUCAGGAUUAUAACCCCUGGCUAACCCCAAGUGCAAUAAGAGCCGAUUGUAUUUGUGAACAUGAGGAUUUCAGGACAUGAAGAUUGGCUCAGCUUGCACACUUCUAAUGAAAAACAACUGUAAAGUGUAUUUGUAAAUAUUUGCCAAUGUUUGGGGUGAAUUAAUGAAUUUGUGUUUUAAACUGCAAGAUGUAACUACCAUAGGGAAUCCUCCCUCCAGGGACUUUCGGAUGCUGAAAAAUUGUGGUGUUUUUUUUUUAAGGAACAAAAAAUAAUGCAGCUUUGUAUUUGAUGCACAUGAAUUUUCUUCUUCUCUUUCUUAACUCAAGAAACUUUAAAACAUGCAGCUUCUCCCACCAGGAGAUCAGGAGACUUCCGCUUCUUAACAAGGACACGACCUGUUCUUGCUCCUUUCCUACCGCUGCUGAAGCAGCAUUGCAGCUCUGAUUGAGGGCCAGGCAUCUUGUUGACUAAAUCAGAGUUUUGUAUGCACCAAGUCCCAACUUCAUGAGAUGGUAUGCAAGCCGCUGCCAGCCAGAGUAGACAGUACUAAGCUUCGUACUAAGCUUCUUGCCAUUAAGAGGCAAGACUAAUUUAGGGAUAAAAUGCUGAUGUCCAAGUGCCAAGAACGUAGGGUUUUAGCCAUAGGGUCGGUGAGAAAGACCCUGCAUGUAUGCAGCAGCUGGGCAGUGCCCCUGAAGCACUGAAAUGAUGCCCCCUUCCCUGCCCACUCACAUUUACGGAAUGAGGAGGCUGCAUUUUGCUGCUUUAGUUAAAAGCCCGACUUGAUCGCCAAAGAAGGAAAAGAGCAGGGAGAGACUGCUGUGCAGAAGUUCUCCCCGUCUUUUGUCUUCUUGGUUAGAGACCAAAGGAAUUACUUUCUCUCUUUUUUGGGGGGGUGGGGGGGUGGCUGUUGGAAGCCGAAAAUCCGCCUUCCAUACCUGCACAAAGGGCAUAUUGGUCUUCCUGCCGUAUGAAACACUUGAGAAUCCUUCAACUUCUGUGGAAUGUAUUUUUAAGAGAUGAAAAUAUAUUUUUUCUAUUUGUUAAUGUCCAGAUGGGGUGGAAAAGGGACUGCAGAAGCCAGACAAUGUUAUGUGUUCUAAGGCAGAUGGGCAUCGCCUGCCUUCUAUUCCUUUUCAGGUGAAGAAAAAAAAA